GUGGGAAAAGGAUAUGAACAGACACUUUAUGAAAGAAGACAUAUAUGAGGCCAACAAUCAUAUGAAAAAAAUACUCAUCGUCUAUGGUCAUCAGAGGGAUGCAAAUCAAAACCACAUUGAGAUACCAUAUCACGCCAGUUAGAAUGGUGAUCAUUAAAAAGUCUGGAGACCACAGAUACUGGAGAGGAUGUGGAGAAAAAGGAACACUUUUACACUGGACAUGGAUGAAUCUGGAGAACAUCAUUCUCAGCAAACUGACACAAGAACAGAAAAUGAAAUACCGCAUAUUCUCACUCAUAGGUGGGUGAUGAACAGUGAGAACACAUGGACACAGGCAAGGGAGCACUACACACUGAAAUCUAUUGGGGGGAAUAGGGGAGGGACAGCAGGGGGAAGCAGGGGAGGGAUAACAUGGGGAGAAAUGCCAAAUGUGGGUGAAGGGGAGGAAGGCAGCAAAACACACUGCCACGUUUAUACCUAUGCAACUAUCUUGCAUGUUCUGCACAUGUACCCCAAAACCUAAAAUGCAAUUAAAAAAAAAAAGAAAGCUUAGGAAAUCAAUAAAAAGUAAAAAAAAAAAGAGACAUGCAAAUAAAACCACAAUGAAAUUCCAUCUCACACCAGUCAGAAUGGCCAUUAAUAAAAAGUCAAAAAAUAACAGAUGCUUGUGAGGUUGUGGAGAAGAAUAAACACUUAUACACUACUGCUGAUGAUAUGAAUUAGCUCAGCCACUGUGGAAAGCAGUAUGAAAAUUUCCCAAAGAACUUAAAACAGAGCAACCAUUCGAUCCAGCAAUCCCAUUACUGGGAUAUACGAAAAGGAAAAUAAAUCCUUAUACCAGAAACACACAUGCACUUGUAUGUUUAACACCAUGAAAUUUACAAUAGAGAAGACUUGGAAUUAACCUAGGUGGAAAGGAUAGGAUAAAAUCAUAUCCUUUGCAGAAACAUGGAUAGAGCUGAAAGCCAUAGUCCUAAGAGAACUUAUGCAGGAACAGAAAACCAAAUAGUACAUGUUCUCAUUGAUAAAUCGGAGCUAAACACGGAGCAUACAUUGACAUUAACAUGGGAACAAUAGACAUUGCGGACUAGUAAAGUGGGGAGGAAGGAGAAGGAUGUGGAUCAAAAAACUACCUUUUAGGUUCUAUAAUCACUAUCUGGGUGCAACAUUCCCAUGCAACGAACCUACAUAUACACCCUAUAUGUAAAAUAAAGGUUUAAAUUAAGAAAAUAGUUUUCUGUCAUGACACAAUGUUAAAUAUGACAAAUAAGUGAUACAUAGAGGCUUUCAAUAAAAUCACUAUUAAAGUACCCUGUGAAAAUUGUGCAGAGCAACACCUCCACCUCAAGAGAUUUGAGAUAUUCAGGUAUUUAAAAGGAUCCUUCCCUAAAAUUUUACUGGAAUGUAUAUACGUAUAUACAACAAAGAUUGGGGUCAUUUUAAAAACCAGCUAGCUGGGGAUGUGGGAAAGCAUUCAAUGUGCAUUGUUUGUAAAGUGACUACAUAUUCUGGUUUGCCUGGGAUGGUCUACAUUCACACUAGCUGUCCCACCAUCACAUCUGGUUAGUUCUUUUUCUCUGAAAAGUAACCCUGCUUAGAUGGUAAAUUACAUGUUCAACCUAAAAUUCUAUAGAUUAUUCAUUUUGGAAGGAUUUUUAAGGGGUAUGAAGUGAAUUAUCUUGCUACAUAUUAAUAAACAAUUAAAUGCCUGCAAUGCAGGCAGAGUUACACAGUUUAUUUAUGCCAGGCUAAAUGCCUCAAGCCAUUCUAUUAAAAUAUUCAAAUAUGUAACUGAUAUAGUUUGGAUGUGUCCCCACCAAAAUCUCAACUGAAUUGUAUCUCCAGGAAUUCCCACGUGUUGUGGGUGGUACCUGGGGGAGGUAACUGAAUCAUGAAGGCCAGUCUUUCUCUUACUCUUCAUGUGAUAAUGAAUAAGUCUCACGAGAUCUGAUGGGUUUAUUAGGGGUUCUGCUUUUACUUUUUUGUCAUCUUCUCUUGCCACUGCCAUGUAAGAAGAGCCUUUCACUUCCCGCCUUGAUUCUAAGGCCUCCCCAGCCAUGUGGAACUGUAAGUCCAAUUAUACAUUUUCUUGUUCUCAAUCUCAGGUAUGUCUUUAUCAGCAGCAAGAGAACAAACUAAUACAGUAAUAUAAAAAUCUGGUUUGAUCUUUUUCAUAUGUAAAAAAUAAAUAGGCAGCAUUUUAUCCCUUUUCAAAUAAAACAUGUUUGUUCAAUAGUAUAGAGUAAUAUUAGUUUAUAAAAACAAUGACCAUCAAUCAGUACUCUUGAAAGUGUUGGCAUUAUUUCUCCAACCUAAAAUAAAUAGAAAAAAAGGUGUAUUUUUUCACAAGCAGUUGAAUUUUUUUGCAUGGACUAUAUUAGUUUUCACCAAAAUUAAGUGAAAAUUUACAUUUUAUUUAUGAUUCAUUUGAUUCCUUUUGAAUCAUGUGCAAAUGAUUCAUUUUGAAAGAAAUAAGUGAUUAAAAUAUGAUACUUUCAAAUAUUAAAUGUUACAAACUAGUUUUAUCCUUAAGAAAUACAACUAUAUUAAUGUUGCAUUUAAUCAAAAUUUGUACUUAUUUUACAUAUGUAUUUUUAAUAGUCAAAAAGAAAACACAAUGACAGUUUCCCAAUUACUCCAACUUGUUGUAAUCAAUAUUUAAAUUUUUAUUUUGUUCCUUUGAGAUGUUUUGCUGCUCUUAGCUUUUUUAAAAUAUAUCUUUGGAUUGUUACUGACAACCCAUAGCUUCCUAGUGGUAAACUUUGCUUUUACAAUUUCUCACCCCGCUGUGUGCUUCUGGCUCCUACUCUACGUAUAUACUAUAUGAAACAACAACUUACACCUUUUUUCAAAAUUCUGCACUCUGGUCCAAAAGAGAAAUGUUUCGUUGUGUUUUUUAAUAAACUUUUUAGUGCAACAAGAAAAGUAGAAUUUAUAUCAAGUACGUAAAUUGAAUGCCAAUAAAAUGACUAUGCAUCUGUAGAUAUUUUUAACAAAGAAACCAAAAGAAGAACAAAAGUACUUGUGCUCUGCACUUUUAGCUAGUCAGAAUUUUUGUCAAAAUGACAAUAAGUCAUUUCUGACAGGCAAAAGUCAUGGCUCAGAAAAGGUUGAUAUUAUAUCAUAAUUUGUUUUCUUAUAACAAAUAUAAAAAGCAUUACAAUUUCUCAUUAUUUAUUCAUGUUUUCCAAUCAGUAUUGUUUAGUAUAUAAUGUCUUCUCUGGAAACAAGACCAGGUGCAAUGGCUCAUGUCUAUAAUCCUAGUACUUUGGGAGGCAGAGGCAGGCAGAUUGUUUGAGCCCAGUUCGACACCAGCUUCGGUUACAUGGUGAAACUGUCUCCACAAAAAAUACAAAAAUUAACUGGGUGUGGUGCCAUGUACCUGUGGACCCAGCUACUCAGGGGGCUGAAGCAGGAGGAUCACAUGAGCCCAGGAGUUUGAGGUUGCAGUGACUCAGGAUUAUGCCACCACACUCCAGCCUGGGCAACAGAGUAAGACUCUGUCUCAAAAAAAUAAAAUAAGAUUAAGACAGAAACAGAUAAACUUUAAAUAUUCUCUCUAAAGAAAACUUAAAGCAUUAUUUCCUUUUCAAACAUAAGAGCAUUAAAACCUUUAAGAAAUUUUCUCUAGUAAAAAAAAAUUUCAUUAGUGUUCAACAUUCUAGAUGUCAUAGGAAAACAUUGAUGAAGACAUGUGUAUUAAGUACCUAUUAAUAAAGGUUAUUAGGAUAUAUAAGACAAUAGAGAAGAUAUAAAAAUGUGUGAGAAAUGUUUGCACCUACAUGUAAUUGAACUGGUCAUAAAAGACAAAAGGAACAAUUAGCAUAUAAUGUCAAAUUAAUAAUAGUGAUAUCAAGUGCAAAUCGACAGAGGAGAAAGCCUCAUGGUAACCUGUUUUAACAUAGAAGAUGGAAAUGAGUGAGUUUUAAAGAAUGGUAGAAUUUGCAUAGUCAGAAGGAUAGAAGAAAUUCCAGAAGAGGAGAAAAAAUAAUGUAAACAAAGCCAGGGACAAAGUUUUCUUGAAGUACAGUGACUUGUGCAGACAUUAUAAGUUGUAAUUUAUGAGCUGAGUCGAUGAAUAGGCAGAUGAGCUUGGAAAUGUGUUAAAAACGAACAUAAAAGUCACUGAAUACCAGCUAAAGGCUUUCACAUCACUCUGCAGGAAAUUAAACACAACUAAAUUUUGAUAAAUGGUAAGAUGCUGAACCCACUAUUUUAGAAAGGUUAACUUAAAUCAGUAAAUAACAAUAAGCAAUAUUCACUGAGAUCUUGCUAUAAAUCAACUCUUUUGCUAGGAACUUUCCAUUAAGUAUUUCAUUUUGAAAGUAUUUUUUUGAAAUAAAUAGCCACAAUGCAAAGUAGCCUGCCACCAACCUUCCCAUGCCAAUAACCUGUACUCGAGCAUACCUGAAACCUUCCCUUUCCUUCACUACAAAGCUUUUCCACUGCCAUUAAGUCGCUGUCUUUGAGUCUCUGCCAAAAGCAAGUGAUGGUGGUUAUUCUCUUGCUACAACAAGCUCUGAAUCAGUAUCCUCUGUUUGCUCUCAUUCAAGUGGUUGGUUGUCCAUUUCCAGAGUAUAUACCAGGUAUAUAAUGUUAGAGGCAAAAAAAUUGUAUCCCAUUGAAAAUAGGAAUAAGCAUUAAUUGAUUCACUCUAAUUUGGGAAAUUUAUCCUCAGGAGGUUAAUGUAAAAAACACAAAAACUUAUCAAAAUACUUUUUGCUUUAUUAUUUAUAAUAUUGAAAAAUUAAAGCCAACCUGUCUAAAAAUAGGUAUUUGUUAAAUAAAUUGUGGUAAUCAAUAAAAUUAAAUACCAUGUAAUCAUUUAAAAGUAUGCAGUAAAGGUAUACUUAUAGAC
rnacentral:lncRNA from 1 species